rnacentral:rRNA from 1 species
GACGAACGCUGGCGGCGUGCUUAACACAUGCAAGUCGAACGGAAAGGCCUGCUUUCCCUUGUGGAUUGCGGGUACUCGAGUGGCGAACGGGUGAGUAACACGUGAGUGAUCUGCCCCCAACUUGGGUAUAAGCCUGGGAAACUGGGUCUAAUUCCCGAAAGGACUGCAGGGUGGUGCCUGUGGUGGAAAACGAUUUUCUAGUGGUUGGGGAUGAGCUCGCGGCCUAUCAGCUUGUUGGUGGGGUAAUGGCCUACCAAGGCGGCGACGGGUAGCCGGCCUGGGGGGGGGGACGGCAGCGUGGGGACGGGGAGCCGGCCGGGAGCCUGAGGGGGGGAGGCGGGGGGGAUGAUGGAAGAGGGGGGGGGAGCGUGAGGCAGCGCCGCGGGGGGGGGGAUGCCGGCUGUGGGUUGGUAACCUCUUUGGGACGGGGAGGAACCCCCUUGUGGGGAGGGGUGGGGAGGGUAGUGGAAGAAGGAGCCCCGGCUAACUCCGUG